rnacentral:rRNA from 1 species
CCUACGGGAGGCAGCAGUGGGGAAUAUUGGACAAUGGGCGCAAGCCUGAUCCAGCCAUGCCGCGUGAGUGAUGAAGGCCUUAGGGUUGUAAAGCUCUUUUGUCCGGGACGCGGUACCGGAAGAAUAAGCCCCGGCUAACUUCGUGCCAGCAGCCGCGGUAAUACGAAGGGGGCUAGCGUUGCUCGGAAUCACUGGGCGUAAAGGGCGCGUAGGCGGCCAUUCAAGUCGGGGGUGAAAGCCUGUGGCUCAACCACAGAAUUGCCUUCGAUACUGUUUGGCUUGAGUUUGGUAGAGGUUGGUGGAACUGCGAGUGUAGAGGUGAAAUUCGUAGAUAUUCGCAAGAACACCAGUGGCGAAGGCGGCCAACUGGACAAACUGACGCUGAGGCGCGAAAGCGUGGGGAGCAAACAGGAUUAGAUACCCUUGUAGUC